rnacentral:lncRNA from 1 species
GGGAGGCACCCAAGGAAUCCUCUAGGGGAGUGGGGGUGGGCUGCAUCUUGCCCUUCCAAGAGCUUGCGGUGGCUGGGGCUGCGCUGGGGGUGCCGAAAGGUGGCCGUGUGGUGGCUGUGGAAGAAAAAAAGGCAGAAGCCACAGCUGGCCCCUGGGAACCGAAGAUGGUAGAAUGCCAGGCAUGCAUCAGAGGACCAGCUGAGACCUUUGCAAUCCUGAAAGACUUAAGUGAAGAUGACUACUUGGUUCACAUUGGCUAAAAGAGCCCUUUAAGUCUUCUGUCUUCAGGUCUAGCUUUUGCCUGCUUCGAGGACUCUUCCUGUUCUGCUACUGGCAGGUUGGACCAGAGGCUCAGCAGCUCUCUGAAGCUCCAGUAACAGGCGCCACCUCCAGCAGCUGAGAAAGCACAGGACGUCUUCCUGACACCACAGUGAACCACAUGGAAAAGCCAUUCGGCGGCUCCCAGCCCUCACCCUGCCCCCUGGCACACACGUGUGGCAGGCCAUGGCUCCAGAAACAGGCCUUCCCAGAGCAAAAAUGUAUGUGACAUAUGCAAAACAUCUUGCUCUCAACUGAAGGCUAUAAAGUAAAUGCAUUUGAAAUGG